CAUAAUCUUGAGAAAAUGCUUUCAUAUUGGGCUAUUCGUUUGGGAGUUGCGACACCACAAACAUACACUCAGAGAAGUCAAAGUCAUAAAAGCACCUCUUUAUCACCAUUCAUCUAUUUAUGGUCUUAUGGUCGUAUUGCUAGGCAUAGCCACUUUUCUUAUUAAUGUAGAGAGAAUGGAAAUAACAUAGCUUUCUAUUGGUAUAUUUUUUUAGACAUUGAAUUUAAAUUGAGUAUUGACUUAUACCCUCUUAUUAUAAAACGCGGUAUCAAAUAAGUAUCGGCUUUUGUACUACCUUUAAUCCACCUUUAAGUACGACCUUGAAAAAACGUUAUUACAAAACGCAGUUUAUCGCAAGUCCUAUUACUAUCUGUAGUACAAAAGAUAAACCAUCGAGCCCCCUAGUUUAACUGCAGUACUUAGUCGACAAACGUCAAAUUCCGACAUUAUUUACUUUUGAGGUUAUUUGUUUUGUGAUGAAAAAAACGAAAGUGGAUAUAAAUAUGUGUGAUUUGGAAUACUUGGAUGUGUUAGAAUACUAUUGAGAGUGUCCGGGGACCCAACAGAAUGCGUCAUCGACAAAAUCUCUUCAAAUUACCUGACGACAAUUUUCGAUAUAAAUAUCGAUUUACGUUUUUCGAAAUAAUAGUCAAUUGAAUGCAUGAUGAUAAUCCAGGAUGAUCCUAUGAUGCUCAACUGGGUUCGCCACAAAAUUCAAGACUAUUUUGGCGUUUUGCACGCCGUAUCUCUGCCAGUAAUAUGCAAUGUUUGUAAAAGACUGGAAGCUUGCUAAAAUGUACAAAAAUGCCUAGAUGAGAAAGGGAACAAGAUUGUGUGAUGAAGAACAGUGUCCAACAUGUAGCAGUGCAUUUGACUGUAUAAAUAGACAUCGGAAUAAAAUAUAAUUUUCUACUUUUA
rnacentral:lncRNA from 1 species